AGCAGCCGCGGUAUACGGAGGGUGUAUCGUUAUCCGGAUUUAUUGGGUUUAAAGGGUCCGUAGGCCGAUGCGUAAGUCAGUGGUGAAAUCUCACAGCUCAACUGUGAAACUGCCAUUGAUACUGCGUGUCUUGAGUGAGGUUGAAGUAGCUGGAAUAAGUAGUGUAGCGGUGAAAUGCAUAGAUAUUACUUAGAACACCAAUUGCGAAGGCAGGUUACUAAGUCUCAACUGACGCUGAUGGACGAAAGCGUGGGGAGCGAACAGGAUUAGAUACCCUGGUAGUCCACGCUGUAAACGAUGCUAACUCGUUUUUGGGGAUUUAUCUUCAAAAACUAAAGAAAGUGAUAUGUUAACCCCCUGGGGAGUACGAACGCAAGUUUGAAACUCAAAGAAAAUUGACGGGGGCCCGCACAAGCAGUGGAUUAUGUGCUUUAAUUCUAAGAUACCCCAGGAACUUACCAAG
rnacentral:rRNA from 1 species